UACGUAGGGUGCAAGCGUUGUCCGGAAUUAUUGGGCGUAAAGAGCUCGUAGGCGGUCUGUCACGUCGGCUGUGAAAUCCCGAGGCUCAACCCCGGGCCUGCAGUGGGUACGGGCAGACUAGAGUGCGGUAGGGGAGACUGGAAUUCCGGGUGUAGCGGUGGAAUGCGUAGAGAUCCGGAAGAACACCGGUGGCGAAGGCGGCCUGCUGGGCAGUAGCUGACACUGAGGCGCGACAGCGUGGGGAGCAAACAGG
rnacentral:rRNA from 1 species